CAGUCGCCGCGGUAAUACGUAGGUGGCAAGCGUUGUCCGGAAUUAUUGGGCGUAAAGGGCUCGCAGGCGGUUUCUUAAGUCUGAUGUGAAAGCCCCCGGCUCAACCGGGGAGGGUCAUUGGAAACUGGGAAACUUGAGUGCAGAAGAGGAGAGUGGGAUUCCACGUGUAGCGGUGAAAUGCGUAGAGAUGUGGAGGAACACCAGUGGCGAAGGCGACUCUCUGGUCUGUAACUGACGCUGAGGAGCGAAAGCGUGGGAAGCGAACAGGAUUAGAUACCCGUGUAGUCCCUGUCUCUUAUAC
rnacentral:rRNA from 1 species